AUUAAUAUAAAAUAUAUUUCUUGUCGAAAUUUGUUUUUUUUUUUUUUACGAAUUGCUGCAGAAAUCAAAAGCGAUGCAAUCAGUUUGUCUCACGGCUGACAUAAAUCCAUUGCGAUAUCAAUUGAUGCCCGGACGCCAACGAAACAGUCAAAUCAAUACGCAGACAGCACGAGGAUGUGCUCCAGCACAAUUUGACAAGUUUUCUUUUUUGGUUGUUUGUUCCCCCCUUUAUUCGCUGAUACUUAUCGGAUUUCUGAUUCGAGUCUAGAAGUUGGCAUGCAAUGGACUGAAAAUAACACAGAUAAAUCGUGCGACCGCUGACUGUGGCUGGGCGCCAGGCUUUUGUUAUAUUAUUAUAACAUAUAAAUAUGCACAAUGACAACGGCAAACAAUGGCAAAUACACAAUGCCAGUUGAACAUUAA